AUGGAGUGGGUGUGGAGGCUCCUUUUCCUGUUUGCAGCUGUCCAAAGUGUUCAAGCAGAGGCUCUGCUUGUACAGUCUGGAUCUGAACUGAAGCAGCCUGGGCAGUCAGUGAAGAUCUCCUGCAAGGCUUCAGGUUAUACCUUCACAGACUAUGCUAUGAGCUGGGUAAAGCAGGAACCUGGACAGCCACUAAAGUGGAUGGGCUAUAUUACUACAGACACUGGGACCCCAAACUAUGCUGAUGACUUCAAAGGACGGUUUGUCUUCUCUUUGGACACCUCUGUCAGCACUGCAUAUCUGCAGAUUAAUAGCCUCAAGAAUGAAGACUCAGCCAUGUAUUACUGUGCUAGACACACAGUGUGA